rnacentral:rRNA from 1 species
GAGCCAUCAGUGAGAAACCACUCUGGAAGAGCUCGGAUUCUAACCUUGUGUCAGACCCGCGGGCCAAGGGACAGUCUCAGGUAGACAGUUUCUAUGGGGCAUAGGCCUCCUAAAAGGUAACGGAGGCGUGCAAAGGUUUCCUCGGGCCAGACGGACAUUGGUCCUCGAGUGCAAAGGCAGAAGGGAGCUUGACUGCAAGACUCACCCGUCGAGCAGAGACGAAAGUCGGCCUUAGUGACCUGAUGGUGCCGAGUGGAAGGGCCGUCGCUCAACGGAAAAAAGGUACUCUAGGGAUAACAUGCAGAUCUUCCCCAAGAGUCCACAUCGACGGGAAGGUUUGGCACCUCGAUGUCGGCUCUUCGCCACCUGGAGCUGUAGGUGGUUCCAAGGGUUGGGCUAUUCGCCCAUUAAUGCGGUACGUGAGUUGGGUUUAGAAUGUCGUGAGACAGUUCGGUCCAUAUCCGGUGUGGGCGUUAGAGCAUUGAGAGGACCUUUCCCUAGUACGAGAGGGCCGGGAAGGACGCACCUUUGGUGUACCAGUUAUCGUGCCUACGGUAAAUGCUGGGUAGCCAAGUGCGGAGAGGAUAACUGCUGAAAGCAUAUAAGUAGUAAGCCCACCCCAAGAUGAGUGCUCUCUCCUCUGACUUCCGUAGAGCCUCCGGUAUCACAGCCGAGACAGCGACGGGUUCUCCACCCAUACGGGGAUGGAGCAACAAAAGUAUGGAAAUAGGAUAAGGUAGCGGCGAGACGAGCCGUUUAAAUAGGUGUCAAGUGGAAGUGUAGUGAUGUAUGCAGCUGAGGCAUCCUAACGAACGAACGAUUUGAACCU